GGUGGCUCAGUAGUAGAGUGUUUGCCUCGCAUGCAUGAGGUCCUGGGUUCGAUUCUUAGCACCA
rnacentral:tRNA from 1 species